rnacentral:rRNA from 1 species
UACGUAGGGUGCAAGCGUUAAUCGGAAUUACUGGGCGUAAAGCGUGCGCAGGCGGUUGUGCAAGACAGAUGUGAAAUCCCCGGGCUUAACCUGGGAACUGCAUUUGUGACUGCACGGCUAGAGUGCGGCAGAGGGGGAUGGAAUUCCGCGUGUAGCAGUGAAAUGCGUAGAUAUGUGGAGGAACACCGAUGGCGAAGGCAAUCCCCUGGGCCUGCACUGACGCUCAUGCACGAAAGCGUGGGGAGCAAACAGG